rnacentral:rRNA from 1 species
UACGUAGGGUGCAAGCGUUAAUCGGAAUUACUGGGCGUAAAGCGUGCGCAGGCGGUUUUGUAAGUCAGAUGUGAAAUCCCCGGGCUUAACCUGGGAACUGCGUUUGAAACUACAAGGCUAGAGUGUGGCAGAGGGGGGUGGAAUUCCACGUGUAGCAGUGAAAUGCGUAGAGAUGUGGAGGAACACCGAUGGCGAAGGCAGCCCCCUGGGUUAACACUGACGACUCAGGCACGAAAGCGUGGGGAGCAAACAGG